CCCACUGACUUCUCCCCGCUACCCUUCGGGCCAUUGGUUGAGAUGCUGCUCACAUUCUGAGAGCAAUGGGAAUGGACUGGGGUGUCGGGGAGGGGGUCUGAGGGGUGUUGGUGGAAGCAAAAGUAUUCUCACAAAGGCACAGGUACUCAUGUGGCAGGGCCCACCCAUCACACACUCAUUGCCAGCCACAGGAGCCAUCUGCUGAGUGGGUAUUGAGUGCAAAGCAAGUACACAACCAGGAGACACAUUCUUAAAAAGCAUGGCCCUCAGGAACCUUGGUCUCUUCAGUGGCUCCAGCUCUUGUGACAGAGCUCUAUCGGUUUAGGGGCAUGGAAGGGUGGCUUAAACCCAACAGAGGACCACAGCUCUGCAUCAGCAUUCUGCUUCUUACAGGUAUGCUCUACUCCAAGGAAGUCUCAGCACCCCCAUCAUUUAAGGCUGCAUCCCACUAAUUCAGUCACUGGACAAAGAGAAAGAAUUGGAGGAGGGCUAGACUACACUGGCUGCUCUAUCUGCCUCGGCUUCAGUAAUGGGGAAGAGUAUAGCAGAACCCCAGAGACCAAUUUUCCACUUCCAUUUACCAAGCCAAAUAGGAAGGCUGUGUCACAAGGAUGCUUGUCUUUCAUGAAAAAGUCUAACCACCACACUAACUACCCUUGAGAAGGCCCUCCUGAGAAAUAAACUGCAUCUUCGUUGAUGACAACUCAUGGUCAAACUUUUGCAAUGUUCCUAACAUUGCGCAUGGAGCAGAGCCACAAAAGUGGUUUUUGAAUAAUUGAACAUGACUGAGUAACUCGUCUAUGAAUGUGGCAAGUGGGACCUCUACUGUGGCAGAAACCCUGAGGCCUGAUGGAUGGGCACAGUUUAUGGUUUGCUAUAAUCAGACCAGUUAGCUCUAUUUGAUCUCUUAAACUUCCAGAAUGCUGUUCAGAGUCACCCUGUGGGACUGUGCACAGCCUGCAGGACUGUAGCCAGAACAGGUCAAUUGCUGCUUUCGAGAUGCAGUGUCCUGGGAGUUGCACCAAGCAAAAGUCUUAAAUGAAGCACCAAGGGUGAUAAAACUUGUGGUGCACUCAGCAGACAGCUUGCCAGAAAUCUGUGUUCAGUCUCGAGGUCUUAUGAGAUAAUUCUGAACAGAAGUGAACAUAACACAGUAGUAACUGAUGACAGCCCUGGACUUCAGAAGGCAGAGCUCAUCCUGGCUCUAGCAUGAACUUUGACCUCUGAACAAAUUCCUUUAUCCAGGCUAAAUUUUCUCACUUUUACUGAAAGAAUCAAGAACUGAUGGUGUUAGAGGGUGAUUCAGGCUCCCAAGGUUUGCAGGCUAGAAUAUUUUGCUUUUGCAUGUGUGUUUUGCACGGUGAUGGCCUGUAUAGGCUCAUAUAU